rnacentral:rRNA from 1 species
UGUGCUUGCACAGAUGACGACCGGCGCACGGGUGCGUAACGCGUAUAGAACCUACCUUUUACAGAGGAAUAGCCUUUAGAAAUGAAGAUUAAUGCCUCAUGGUAUUGUAGACUGGCAUCAGUUUAUAAUUAAAGAUUUAUCGGUAAAAGAUGGCUAUGCGUCCUAUUAGUUAGUUGGUAAGGUAACGGCUUACCAAGACAGCGAUAGGUAGGGGUCCUGAGAGGGAGAUCCCCCACACUGGUACUGAGACACGGACCAGACUCCUACGGGAGGCAGCAGUGAGGAAUAUUGGACAAUGGAGGAGACUCUGAUCCAGCCAUGCCGCGUGUAGGAAGAAUGCCCUAUGGGUUGUAAACUACUUUUAUACAGGAAGAAACACUGGUAUGUAUACCAGCUUGACGGUACUGUAAGAAUAAGGACCGGCUAACUCCGUGCCAGCAGCCGCGGUAAUACGGAGGGUCCGAGCGUUAUCCGGAAUCAUUGGGUUUAAAGGGUCCGCAGGCGGUCGAUUAAGUCA